CGUACACAAAAAUGCACAUGCUGUGAGCUCGAUGAGUAGGGCGGGACACGUGGUAUCCUGUCUGAAUAUGGGGGGACCAUCCUCCAAGGCUAAAUACUCCUGACUGACCGAUAGUGAACCAGUACCGUGAGGGAAAGGCGAAAAGAACCCCGGCGAGGGGAGUGAAAAAGAACCUGAAACCGUGUACGUACAAGCAGUGGGAGCCUCUUUUAUGGGGUGACUGCGUACCUUUUGUAUAAUGGGUCAGCGACUUAUAUUCUGUAGCAAGGUUAACCGAAUAGGGGAGCCGAAGGGAAACCGAGUCUUAACUGGGCGUUAAGUUGCAGGGUAUAGACCCGAAACCCGGUGAUCUAGCCAUGGGCAGGUUGAAGGUUGGGUAACACUAACUGGAGGACCGAACCGACUAAUGUUGAAAAAUUAGCGGAUGACUUGUGGCUGGGGGUGAAAGGCCAAUCAAACCGGGAGAUAGCUGGUUCUCCCCGAAAGCUAUUUAGGUAGCGCCUCGUGAAUUCAUCUCCGGGGGUAGAGCACUGUUUCGGCAAGGGGGUCAUCCCGACUUACCAACCCGAUGCAAACUGCGAAUACCGGAGAAUGUUAUCACGGGAGACACACGGCGGGUGCUAACGUCCGUCGUGAAGAGGGAAACAACCCAGACCGCCAGCUAAGGUCCCAAAGUCAUGGUUAAGUGGGAAACGAUGUGGGAAGGCCCAGACAGCCAGGAUGUUGGCUUAGAAGCAGCCAUCAUUUAAAGAAAGCGUAAUAGCUCACUGGUCGAGUCGGCCUGCGCGGAAGAUGUAACGGGGCUAAACCAUGCACCGAAGCUGCGGCAGCGACGCUUAUGCGUUGUUGGGUAGGGGAGCGUUCUGUAAGCCUGUGAAGGUGUGCUGUGAGGCAUGCUGGAGGUAUCAGAAGUGCGAAUGCUGACAUAAGUAACGAUAAAGCGGGUGAAAAGCCCGCUCGCCGGAAGACCAAGGGUUCCUGUCCAACGUUAAUCGGGGCAGGGUGAGUCGACCCCUAAGGCGAGGCCGAAAGGCGUAGUCGAUGGGAAACAGGUUAAUAUUCCUGUACUUGGUGUUACUGCGAAGGGGGGACGGAGAAGGCUAUGUUGGCCGGGCGACGGUUGUCCCGGUUUAAGCGUGUAGGCUGGUUUUCCAGGCAAAUCCGGAAAAUCAAGGCUGAGGCGUGAUGACGAGGCACUACGGUGCUGAAGCAACAAAUGCCCUGCUUCCAGGAAAAGCCUCUAAGCAUCAGGUAACAUCAAAUCGUACCCCAAACCGACACAGGUGGUCAGGUAGAGAAUACCAAGGCGCUUGAGAGAACUCGGGUGAAGGAACUAGGCAAAAUGGUGCCGUAACUUCGGGAGAAGGCACGCUGAUAUGUAGGUGAAGCGACUUGCUCGUGGAGCUGAAAUCAGUCGAAGAUACCAGCUGGCUGCAACUGUUUAUUAAAAACACAGCACUGUGCAAACACGAAAGUGGACGUAUACGGUGUGACGCCUGCCCGGUGCCGGAAGGUUAAUUGAUGGGGUUAGCGCAAGCGAAGCUCUUGAUCGAAGCCCCGGUAAACGGCGGCCGUAACUAUAACGGUCCUAAGGUAGCGAAAUUCCUUGUCGGGUAAGUUCCGACCUGCACGAAUGGCGUAAUGAUGGCCAGGCUGUCUCCACCCGAGACUCAGUGAAAUUGAACUCGCUGUGAAGAUGCAGUGUACCCGCGGCAAGACGGAAAGACCCCGUGAACCUUUACUAUAGCUUGACACUGAACAUUGAGCCUUGAUGUGUAGGAUAGGUGGGAGGCUU
rnacentral:rRNA from 1 species